rnacentral:rRNA from 1 species
UACGUAGGGGGCUAGCGUUGCUCGGAAUCACUGGGCGUAAAGGGUGCGUAGGCGGGUUUUUAAGUCAGGGGUGAAAUCCUGGAGCUCAACUCCAGAACUGCCUUUGAUACUGAAAAUCUUGAGUCCGGGAGAGGUGAGUGGAACUGCGAGUGUAGAGGUGAAAUUCGUAGAUAUUCGCAAGAACACCAGUGGCGAAGGCGGCUCACUGGCCCGGUACUGACGCUGAGGCACGAAAGCGUGGGGAGCAAACAGG